GCACAAAAAAUCAUGCACCUGAAGCAGAAAAUGAGGAUCUCUCACAAUGGGAAAUGAACCUUACUCGUAAAAGAUUUUUAUAGUGAAGUGGACAUAUUUCCAGACAGAGUCAGUGAACGCAGGUUGGAAUUGAGGAGAAGGGAAAAAUCAAGAUAACCAGAUGAUGUGAUUAAGGUA